rnacentral:rRNA from 1 species
CGAGAGGGGGCUAGCGUUGUUCGGAAUUACUGGGCGUAAAGGGCGCGUAGGCGGCCCGCUAAGUCGAACGUGAAAUCCCCGGGCUCAACCCGGGAACUGCGUCCGAUACUGGCGGGCUUGAAUCCGGGAGAGGGAUGUGGAAUUCCAGGUGUAGCGGUGAAAUGCGUAGAUAUCUGGAGGAACACCGGUGGCGAAGGCGGCAUCCGGGACCGGUAUUGACGCUGAGGCGCGAAAGCCAGGGCAGCAAACGGGAUUAGAUACCCCGGUAGUCCUGGCCCUAAACGAUGAAUGCUUGGUGUGGCGGGUAUCGAUCCCUGCCGUGCCGAAGCUAACGCAUUAAGCAUUCCGCCUGGGGAGUACGGUCGCAAGGCUG